ACUGAUCUAGAGGAUUACUGUCGCAUUCGUAAUGCGUAGGUCGUCGGUUCGAAUCCGAUUCUCGGUUCCA
rnacentral:tRNA from 1 species